GACGAACGCUGGCGGCUUGCUUAACACAUGCAAGUCGAACGGCAAGGCCCUGCUUUUGUGGUCUGCUCUUGUGGCGAACGGGUGAGUAACACGUUAGUUACCUUCCCUUUACUUUUGGAUUACUUCAGGAAACUGGGGCUAAUUCCCGAUAGGUGCUCCUGCUGCAUGGUUUGGGUUGUAAAGUUUCGGCGGUUGGGGAUGUACUCGCGGCUUAUCAGCUUGUUGGUUGGUUAGUGGCUUACCAAGUCUUUGACGGGUAGCCGGCCUGAGAGGGUGACCGGCCACAUUGGGACUGAGAUAGGGCGCAGACUCCUACGGGAGGCAGCAGGGGGGAAUAUUGCACAAUGGGCGGAAGCGUGAUGCAGCAACGCCGCGUGCGGGAUGACGGCCUUCGGGGUGUAAACAGCUUUCGACUGUGACGAAGAGGGAGUGACGGUAAUGGGUAAAGAAGCACCGGCUAACUACGUG
rnacentral:rRNA from 1 species